CCUACGGGAGACAGCAGUGAGGAAUAUUGGUCAAUGGACGAGAGUCUGAACCAGCCAAGUAGCGUGAAGGAUGACUGCCCUAUGGGUUGUAAACUUCUUUUAUAUGGGAAUAAAACGUUCCACGUGUGGGAUUUUGUAUGUACCAUAUGAAUAAGGAUCGGCUAACUCCGUGCCAGCAGCCGCGGUAAUACGGAGGAUCCGAGCGUUAUCCGGAUUUAUUGGGUUUAAAGGGAGCGUAGGUGGAUUGUUAAGUCAGUUGUGAAAGUUUGCGGCUCAACCGGAAAAUUGCAGUUGAAACUGGCAGUCUUGAGUACAGUAGAGGUGGGCGGAAUUCGUGGUGUAGCGGUGAAAUGCUUAGAUAUCACGAAGAACUCCGAUUGCGAAGGCAGUUCACUGGACUGCAACUGACACUGAGGCUCGAAAGUGUGGGUAUCAAACAGGAUUAGAUACCCUAGUAGUC
rnacentral:rRNA from 1 species